CUGCCCCGAAAACCCGGAGCAACAGAGUAGUCUCAGCGGACAGUCCUUCUAGAGGCGAAACCAGGCGGUUUGGGCAUGCUCAGUUGCUGGGAGAGGUUUGGGAGGAGAGUAGAGAGCUUUGGCUCUGCCCCCACCCCUCCGUUAGCCCCCGCCCCCCUUGCCCCUACCCAGCCGUAGUAGUUCCCCAGCGUGCGCCCGGGGAGAGCAGGAACAUGGCGCUUGGAGCGAUAUAGCAGCUGUAGCAGCAGAGGAGAAGCAGAUGAAGCACCGCGGCUUCGCUACUGACAACCAGCCACCAGAAAUACACUGUGAUGAAAUGCUUCUCUAUGUUGCCAAAAUGAACACUGAAGAAAAAUGAAGCAAACCGAAGAAUUCUGCCAAAAAGUUGCACAACUGAAGUAGCCAAACUCUUCUGGAGUCUUUAAUUCAUCCACGGCCAUCAUUUUAAAAAGACAAAGGCUGGCUAUUCCUGUGAAAAUGGCAUGGUGUGGAACAUGCAAUCAAGAUGACUUUCAGCUGUUUGUGAAUGUGAGAGACGGGAACUCUCCCUGCUUCUGCAGAGAGGAGGGUGGUUGCAGAGAAGUGACAUCUCCUGACUCAGAAACAAGUAAAGCACUACCUGAGGAGAGAAAUUUCCAACUACAGACCAUAAUUAUAGGAU